ACCUGUGGAAACACAAGAGCCUUUAUUAGUGGGUGCUCUCGAGCAGCCUCAAGCCCAAUUCUCCUUGGAUGAUAGCUAAUGACAUCCUGUCCUGUUGACAUCUGUGCACAUCUCUGAUCUUGUGAAGACUAAUGCGAGACAAGAAGACUCUCUCAUCAACAACCCUUACCCCCUUUCCCUCCUCUGCAAGUACCUGAUUCGGGAGAGUUGAUUCAGAGGCUUGAGACAGAAAGAAAAUCAUCUCUUAUUUCCAAAGUAUGUUAUUCCAAAAUGGACUUCUUACACAGCAGUGGGCUAUAAAAUACUCUCUGAAACCUCUCCAGAAAAGUGGUAAAGUUUGUGUUCCUAGCUCCAGGAGAAAGACUGCUCUCUGAGGAAUGCUGGGAGUGCUGUGGAUCUUCAUAGGGUUCUAACUUCUGGGGAAAGCACUCAACAAGGUCAAAGGUUUCUCCCUCUGGCUCCUUUCCUUUCCUUCCACCCCCACAUGGUACACAGGAUAUUACAAAAUCUCCACACUGAUCUCCAGGGCUGAAAUCCAAUCCAAACAGAACGAAUGCACCAUGAGGACCUUCCAUUCCCCAGCCUUCUUAGCAUCCCAGAAGCAGGAAGAGAAUUAUGGGCUGCCCCACAGUCAAUAAGAGAGAAAAUGAUUUUUUUUUUUAUUUUUUUAAAGUCACAGCACAGCAUGGACCGUGUGGGAUUCAGGACACCAAGCCACUUUCAUAUAUUGCUCAUUUUCCAUAUUUAUGCUCUGUAGACAGCGGGACCCCAAGAGCCCACCAGGAAAUGUGUAAAGAAACGUGAAAUCAUUGGAUUUAAACUAUGCCAUGGAGCUGAGGGUCCUUUGUAAAUAUUUACUGUGAAAAAUUCAAAUAAGAAGGCUCAGUUCCUUUAAAUACUUCACCUUUAGAAAUAAAGACCAUAUUCUCUGGUUCCCCAAGACAGCGUACACUACAUUAUAACCAGCAGAAAACAAAACAAGAUCCUUAGCUUCCCCCGGAGAAUAUUUAUCCUUUCACUAAGAAAUAAAGCUACUUGUCGGCCGCCCAUUCCACGUUGAUUUUCCUUUCUGCCAGCAAUGGGAUUCUGAUGAAUUAGGACCCAUGGCCCUGAAUUGCUGGGGGAGGCAUUAGCGGAACCCUACACUAGUAAGUCUUUUUGGCUCAGGACUAAAAGGAUCCACCAUCAAGCAUGAACAAAAUGCUGACUUUCUCCUGCCGCCACCUAAAAGGCUGGGGGGCCUCUUGGUCUCAGUUUCUCAAUUACAUAAUUAAACUUGGCAGCAGGUUCAAAUGAAUUAAAACUGAAUGUCACUGUUUUCUCAGCACCCCCCCCCCCAGUCCCUGUUUUCUUCUUCCUUGUAGGGAGAAGGCCAGCUGAACAGCAAUUAGCGGGAAACAGAGCAGUGAGAAAGAACCAGCUCGGUGCUAAUUAGGUCACUUGCCAAAUGUAUUCAUUCCAUUGGCAGAUUUAAUCAAUGUUUUCCUAAAAUGCUUUAAAUCUUGUAUGCCAAUUUAAAGUUUUGCUAUUAUUACAGCUUUAAACACAGAUGGGAAGCUGAGUGAUUCGCAGGGCUGUUUGCCUGGAAAAAAAAAUAAUAAAGAGAAAGGCAUUUGUAAAUGGUAAUGAA